UUAAGCGACUAAGCGUACACGGUGGAUGCCCUGGCAGUCAGAGGCGAUGAAGGACGUGCUAAUCUGCGAAAAGCGUCGGUAAGGUGAUAUGAACCGUUAUAACCGGCGAUGUCCGAAUGGGGAAACCCAGUGCAAUUCGUUGCACUAUCGUUAACUGAAUACAUAGGUUAACGAGGCGAACCGGGGGAACUGAAACAUCUAAGUACCCCGAGGAAAAGAAAUCAACCGAGAUUCCCCCAGUAGCGGCGAGCGAACGGGGAGCAGCCCAGAGUCUGAAUCAGCUUGUGUGUUAGUGGAACGGUCUGGAAAGUCCGACGGUACAGGGUGAUAGUCCCGUACACCAAAAUGCACAGGUUGUGAACUCGAAGAGUAGGGCGGGACACGUGGUAUCCUGUCUGAAUAUGGGGGGACCAUCCUCCAAGGCUAAAUACUCCUGACUGACCGAUAGUGAACCAGUACCGUGAGGGAAAGGCGAAAAGAACCCCGGCGAGGGGAGUGAAAAAGAACCUGAAACCGUGUACGUACAAGCAGUGGGAGCACCUUCGGGUGUGACUGCGUACCUUUUGUAUAAUGGGUCAGCGACUUAUAUUCUGUAGCAAGGUUAACCGUAUAGGGGAGCCGCAGGGAAACCGAGUCUUAACUGGGCGUUAAGUUGCAGGGUAUAGACCCGAAACCCGGUGAUCUAGCCAUGGGCAGGUUGAAGGUUGGGUAACACUAACUGGAGGACCGAACCGACUAAUGUUGAAAAAUUAGCGGAUGACUUGUGGCUGGGGGUGAAAGGCCAAUCAAACCGGGAGAUAGCUGGUUCUCCCCGAAAGCUAUUUAGGUAGCGCCUCGUGAAUUCAUCUUCGGGGGUAGAGCACUGUUUCGGCUAGGGGGUCAUCCCGACUUACCAACCCGAUGCAAACUACGAAUACCGAAGAAUGUUAUCACGGGAGACACACGGCGGGUGCUAACGUCCGUCGUGAAGAGGGAAACAACCCAGACCGCCAGCUAAGGUCCCAAAGUCAUGGUUAAGUGGGAAACGAUGUGGGAAGGCACAGACAGCCAGGAUGUUGGCUUAGAAGCAGCCAUCAUUUAAAGAAAGCGUAAUAGCUCACUGGUCGAGUCGGCCUGCGCGGAAGAUGUAACGGGGCUAAACCAUGCACCGAAGCUGCGGCAGCGACACUAUGUGUUGUUGGGUAGGGGAGCGUUCUGUAAGCCUGCGAAGGUGACCUGUGAGGGUUGCUGGAGGUAUCAGAAGUGCGAAUGCUGACAUAAGUAACGAUAAAGCGGGUGAAAAGCCCGCUCGCCGGAAGACCAAGGGUUCCUGUCCAACGUUAAUCGGGGCAGGGUGAGUCGACCCCUAAGGCGAGGCCGAAAGGCGUAGUCGAUGGGAAACAGGUUAAUAUUCCUGUACUUGGUGUUACUGCGAAGGGGGGACGGAGAAGGCUAUGUUAGCCGGGCGACGGUUGUCCCGGUUUAAGCAUGUAGGCUGGUUAUCCAGGCAAAUCCGGAUAAUCAAGGCUGAGGUGUGAUGACGAGGCACUACGGUGCUGAAGUAACAAAUGCCCUGCUUCCAGGAAAAGCCUCUAAGCAUCAGGUAACAUUAAAUCGUACCCCAAACCGACACAGGUGGUCAGGUAGAGAAUACCAAGGCGCUUGAGAGAACUCGGGUGAAGGAACUAGGCAAAAUGGUGCCGUAACUUCGGGAGAAGGCACGCUGGUGUGUAGGUGAAGUCCCUGCGGAUGGAGCUGAGACCAGUCGAAGAUACCAGCUGGCUGCAACUGUUUAUUAAAAACACAGCACUGUGCAAACACGAAAGUGGACGUAUACGGUGUGACGCCUGCCCGGUGCCGGAAGGUUAAUUGAUGGGGUUAUCCGUAAGGAGAAGCUCUUGAUCGAAGCCCCGGUAAACGGCGGCCGUAACUAUAACGGUCCUAAGGUAGCGAAAUUCCUUGUCGGGUAAGUUCCGACCUGCACGAAUGGCGUAAUGAUGGCCAGGCUGUCUCCACCCGAGACUCAGUGAAAUUGAACUCGCUGUGAAGAUGCAGUGUACCCGCGGCAAGACGGAAAGACCCCGUGAACCUUUACUAUAGCUUGACACUGAACAUUGAGCCUUGAUGUGUAGGAUAGGUGGGAGGCUUUGAAGCGUGGACGCCAGUCUGCGUGGAGCCAACCUUGAAAUACCACCCUUUAAUGUUUGAUGUUCUAACGUUGGCCCCUGACCGGGGUUGCGGACAGUGUCUGGUGGGUAGUUUGACUGGGGCGGUCUCCUCCCAAAGCGUAACGGAGGAGCACGAAGGUUAGCUAAUCCUGGUCGGACAUCAGGAGGUUAGUGCAAUGGCAUAAGCUAGCUUGACUGCGAGCGUGACGGCGCGAGCAGGUGCGAAAGCAGGUCAUAGUGAUCCGGUGGUUCUGAAUGGAAGGGCCAUCGCUCAACGGAUAAAAGGUACUCCGGGGAUAACAGGCUGAUACCGCCCAAGAGUUCAUAUCGACGGCGGUGUUUGGCACCUCGAUGUCGGCUCAUCACAUCCUGGGGCUGAAGUAGGUCCCAAGGGUAUGGCUGUUCGCCAUUUAAAGUGGUACGCGAGCUGGGUUUAGAACGUCGUGAGACAGUUCGGUCCCUAUCUGCCGUGGGCGCUGGAGAAUUGAGGGGGGCUGCUCCUAGUACGAGAGGACCGGAGUGGACGCAUCACUGGUGUUCGGGUUGUCAUGCCAAUGGCACUGCCCGGUAGCUAAAUGCGGAAGAGAUAAGUGCUGAAAGCAUCUAAGCACGAAACUUGCCCCGAGAUGAGUUCUCCCUGAGACUUUAAGUCUCCUGAAGGAACGUUAAAGACGAUGACGUUGAUAGGCCGGGUGUGUAAGCGCAGCGAUGCGUUGAGCUAACCGGUACUAAUGAACCGUGAGGCUUAACCU
rnacentral:rRNA from 1 species